UUCCCAGCAACUCCUAUCCCUACCUCCUCGCGGUACUGGCCGGGGUACGAGUAACCUUAGGGAAGAUCGGGUAACCAACCCCCGGUGGGAACUUUGGUCGUAUGCUGACAGGGAAGG
rfam:Aedes aegypti strain Liverpool supercont1.189 genomic scaffold, whole genome shotgun sequence.